rnacentral:rRNA from 1 species
GCAAAGGCAGAAGGGAGCUUGACUGCGAGACCUACAAGUCGAGCAGGGACGAAAGUCGGGCUUAGUGAUCCGGUGGUACCGCAUGGAAGGGCCAUCGCUCAACGGAUAAAAGCUACCCUGGGGAUAACAGGCUUAUCUCCCCCAAGAGUCCACAUCGACGGGGAGGUUUGGCACCUCGAUGUCGGCUCAUCGCAUCCUGGGGCUGAAGUAGGUCCCAAGGGUUGGGCUGUUCGCCCAUUAAAGCGGUACGCGAGCUGGGUUCAGAACGUCGUGAGACAGUUCGGUCCCUAUCUGUCGUGGGCGUAGGAAAUUUGAGAGGAGCUGUCCUUAGUACGAGAGGACCGGGAUGGACGUACCGCUGGUGUACCAGUUGUUCCGCCAGGAGCACCGCUGGGUAGCUAUGUACGGAAGGGAUAAGCGCUGAAAGCAUCUAAGCGUGAAGCCCCCCUCAAGAUGAGAUUUCCCAAUUAGUAAGACCCCUUGAAGACGACGAGGUAGAUAGGUUGGGGGUGGAAGUGCAGUAAUGCAUGGAGCUGACCAAUACUAAUCGGUCGAGGGCUUAUCCUAA